rnacentral:rRNA from 1 species
AGUGAACGCUGGCGGUAGGCCUAACACAUGCAAGUCGAACGGCAGCACAGUAAGAGCUUGCUCUUACGGGUGGCGAGUGGCGGACGGGUGAUGAAUACAUCGGAAUCUACUUUUUCGUGGGGGAUAACGUAGGGAAACUUACGCUAAUACCGCAUACGACCUACGGGUGAAAGCAGUGGAUCUUCGGACCUUGCGCGAUUGAAUGAGCCGAUGUCGGAUUAGCUAGUUGGCGGGGUAAAGGCCCACCAAGGCGACGAUCCGUAGCUGGUCUGAGAGGAUGAUCAGCAACACUGGAAAUGAGACACGGUCCAGACUCCUACGGGAGGCAGCAGUGGGGAAUAUUGGAAAAUGGGCGCAAGCCUGAUCCAGCCAUACCGCGUGGGUGAAGAAGGCCUUCGGGUUGUAAAGCCCUUUUGUUGGGAAAGAAAAGCAGCAGGUUAAUACCCCGCUGUUCUGACGGUACCCAAAGAAUAAGCACCGGCUAACUUCGUG